CUAGCCGUAAACGAUGGAUACUAGGCGUUGUGAGUAUCGACCCUCACAGUGUCGUAGCUAACGCGUUAAGUAUCCCGCCUGGGGAGUACGCGCGCAAGCGUGAAACUCAAAGGAAUUGACGGGGGCCCGCACAAGCGGUGGAGUAUGUGGUUUAAUUCGAUGCAACGCGAAGAACCUUACCAGGAUUUGACAUGUCGCGAAUCUCAGGGAAACUUGAGAGUGCCUUCGGGAGCGCGAACACAGGUGGUGC
rnacentral:rRNA from 1 species